GUUGGCAAUAAGCUAACUGUUUUAGAAUCUUUAAUUUUAAAGCAUGGGUGUAGAUAAAAAUUGUAAACACGGAACAACGUUCAAUGCAUACGGAUGUCAAUUCGUCUAUUAGAACUUUAACAUAUCACAAAGAGUAAAUACUCACAUUUUAGUGUCAAAAAACAAUGCGGUACGUUAUAAUUACUGAAGUAUGUGUCAGAUAGCAAAUGUUGACAGUUGUUUGUACAUAAUGGUUGAAUUGUUAAUAAAAUUUAUCUAUAAUUAUAUAAAAGUAUGGUAGUCGAAUCGAUUAUUCUUUUAGGUACAUGCCUAGCGGUUUGUUGGCCCUGCCUUCUACCCUGUUGCUUACUACUCCCUGUCAUUCCGUAUCCCCUAAUCCUUAUAAAUGCAAGCAAAUACACGCAGAACAAUGAGGAAGAUGACAGCGGUUGCCAUUACGUAUGCAUCACCAAAAAAGGUUUUGUAUUGAAAAAACUAAAUAAUGCCCACAAAUAAACGUAUAUUAGUCUGCAUUUGUUACAAGUCCGAUCUGUAUUUAGAUUAAAAAGGCUUUAAAAGUAAAGAGAAUUAAUUUUAAUGGUUUCUUUAUCGUUGUAAUUAAAAAUCAGUAACGCAAUAAUGUGAAAGCCGGAUGUAAAAGUUGAUUUGACAAACAAAAUAUACAAAAUAAAUAUAAAUAACUACUCUACAAUACUCUACUCUUUGUGUAAGGGUACAAUUUCACAACUAAUUGAAAUAAAACUAUAUUUAAGUGUGUUGAAUGCAAGAUAUUGAAGGCCAUAAAAACCGGUUGACCGGAAUUUCCGUAUAUUCUGGAAAUCCGUAUAUUCUGACAGAAGAGAGACUUCAACACAUAUCUAUGGUAUUUUAACCAUUGAAGAUGCUUGUCUUACUUUUUACUCUGAAAAUGGAACAUUUUGUGGCAGACUGUCCAAAACUUUAAAAGAAAACAUGGCCACCCAAGUAGCUCUGACAACGAGUAAUCA